rnacentral:rRNA from 1 species
UACGUAGGGGGCAAGCGUUGUCCGGAAUCAUUGGGCGUAAAGCGCGUGUAGGCGGCUCGAUAAGUCUGCUGUGAAAGUCCAGGGCUCAACCCUGGGAUGCCGGUGGAUACUGUCGAGCUCGAGUCCGGAAGAGGCGAGUGGAAUUCCUGGUGUAGCGGUGAAAUGCGCAGAUAUCAGGAGGAACACCGAUGGCGAAGGCAGCUCGCUGGGACGUGACUGACGCUGAGGAGCGAAAGCGUGGGGAGCGAACAGG